UCAAGUUUCUGCCCUAUCAGCUUUCGAUGGUAGGAUAGAGGCCUACCAUGGCGUUAACGGGUAACGGGGAAUUAGGGUUCGAUUCCGGAGAGGGAGCCUGAGAAAUGGCUACCACAUCCAAGGAAGGCAGCAGGCGCGUAAAUUGCCCGAAUCCUGACACAGGGAGGUAGUGACAAGAAAUAACAAUACAGGGCUCUUCGAGUCUUGUAAUUGGAAUGAGUACAAUUUACAUCUCUUCACGAGGAUCAAUUGGAGGGCAAGUCUGGUGCCAGCAGCCGCGGUAAUUCCAGCUCCAAUAGCGUAUAUUAAAGUUGUUGCAGUUAAAACGCUCGUAGUCGGAUUUCGGGGCGGGCCCGCCGGUCUGCCGAUGGGUAUGCACUGGCGGGGGCGCCCUUCCUCCCGGAGACGGCUGCUACUCUUAACUGAGCGGUGGCCGGAGACGGGAUAUUUACUUUGAAAAAAUCAGAGUGUUUCAAGCAGGCAGUCGCUCUUGCAUGGAUUAGCAUGGGAUAAUGAAAUAGGACUCUGGUGCUAUUUUGUUGGUUUCGAGCACCGGAGUAAUGAUUAACAGGGACAGUCAGGGGCACUCGUAUUCCGCCGAGAGAGGUGAAAUUCUCAGACCAGCGGAAGACGAACUAC
rnacentral:rRNA from 1 species